GACGAACGCUGGCGGCGUGCUUAACACAUGCAAGUCGAACGGAAAGGCCCUGCUUUUGUGGGGUGCUCGAGUGGCGCACGGGUGAGUAACACGUGAGUAACCUGCCCUUGACUUUGUGAUAACUUCAGGAAACUGGGGCUAAUACCGGAUAGGAGCUCCUGCUGCAUGGUGGGGUUUGGAAAGUUUCGGCGGGUGGGGAUGGACUCGCGGCUUAUCAGCUUGUUGGUGGGGUAGUGGCUUACCAAGUGUUUGGAGGGUAGCCCGCAUGAGAACUUGAACGCGGACCUUGGGCCUGAGGUACGGCGCAGAGGCCAACGGUAGGCAGCAGUGGGGAACAUGGCACAAUGGUGCGAAGCGUGAUGCAAAAAUCUUGCGAGCGUGAUGACGUCUUUGUGGGUGUAAAGCGCUGUAGCCUGAUACGAAGCUGUAUUGACGGUAAUAGGUAAAGAAGCACCGGCUAACUACGUG
rnacentral:rRNA from 1 species